AAAUUCGUAACAAAUUCGUUUACAUUUUGUGACAUAAACUUCGUGACCACCGUGUUCAUGCUUGAUUCAACAAUAAAUUAUGGGGGGAUGCGAUGAAUUACGAUCGAUGUAGGGGGAUAUGGGAACAUUUUACUUUAUGAAAUGAAACAACAACGAGCAAUAACAACAUUUCCAACGAUCUCUGUGCUCUGUCUAUCUACUAUUAAAUUCCAACAUGAAUUAGAAAAACGAUCCUAGAGCACAGGGGGGGGGCUAAAGGGGUUCAACCAACAACGCAAGCAAAGGGGGAUGAUUUACACAGAGAGAGAGAGAGAGAGAGAGAGAGAGAGGAGGGUGGUUGUCGAGCAUAAAUCGAACCUUGCUCCGCCACGAGAAAGAGAAAGCUAGAAAAGAAAGGAAGAAGUCGAAGGGGCGAGACGAUGCACUGGUGCAAAGGUAAUCUGAUAUUCUGAGACGAGAAA